UGGGGCGAUGGAGUGUAGCAUCAGGAUUUCCCCAGCCUUAAGAGUCCGGACGCAGCGCCCUUCCCAAGCGAGGUGGAAAACCUUUUUCAACUGCCAAGAAGCCAGAGGUGUCAGUAAAAACUUGUGGAUGCCAGGAAGUGUCAUGGCAAGCCACUGAAGUUCUGGAGGAGAUCAACCCAGAAGAAGACGGGCAAGCCACUGCAGUUCUGGAGAAGAGGAACCUAGAGGAAGAUGGGUCUUCCUGGAAUUUCUAACUUAACACUUACUCCUAGUUCUGGAGAAGGAACCUAGAAGAUAGGUUUCUCAUCGAUCUACAUUUGCAUUAUUAAGAUAGUUUCCUUCUGUUACCUGUUGCUUUGUGAAUAAAUUUCAGUAACCUCCACACUCGAAUGCAUUCAGCUUAAAUUUCAAACAAGCGUACAUAGGAUUGCUGUGUAAUAAAGUAGUAAAGUAUUCGUGUUCAUGUAUUGUAUUUGAACAAAUUAUAUAAUUAUGCCUGUGUGUCAACUUUGUGAUUCAGUUGGUUUGCAAAGCUUCAUUUGACGUGUGCCUCUUUGCUUUUGAUUUAGUAAUAAAAUUAUAUGUAUUUGA